rnacentral:rRNA from 1 species
GAUCAGAUCAAGCGCGAAAAGGGCGUUUGGUGGAUGCCUAGGCAGCAAGAGGCGAUGAAGGACGUGAUACCCUGCGUUAAGCCAUGGGGAGCCGGGAAUGGGCUUCGAUCCAUGGAUGUCCGAAUGGGGAAACCCACCUGA